UACGUAGGUGGCAAGCGUUGUCCGGAUUUACUGGGCGUAAAGAGCUCGUAGGCGGUCUGUCGCGUCUGCUGUGAAAACUCGGGGCUUAACCCCGGGCCUGCAGUGGGUACGGGCAGACUAGAGUGCGGUAGGGGAGACUGGAAUUCCUGGUGUAGCGGUGAAAUGCGCAGAUAUCAGGAGGAACACCGGUGGCGAAGGCGGGUCUCUGGGCCGUAACUGACGCUGAGGAGCGAAAGCAUGGGGAGCGAACAGG
rnacentral:rRNA from 1 species